rnacentral:rRNA from 1 species
GUGAGGAAUAUUGCGCAAUGGAGGCAACUCUGACGCAGCCAUGCCGCGUGCAGGAAGAAGGCGCUACGCGUUGUAAACUGCUUUUAACCGGGAAGAAACCCCAGGACGUGUCCUGGGUUGACGGUACCGGAGGAAUAAGCACCGGCUAACUUCGUGCCAGCAGCCGCGGUAAUACGAAGGGUGCAAGCGUUAUCCGGUUUCAUUGGGUUUAAAGGGUGCGUAGGCGGAGCGUUAAGUCAGUGGUGAAAUCCUGCAGCUUAACUGUAGACUUGCCAUUGAUACUGGCGCUCUUGAGUGCGCUUGAAGUGGGCGGAAUGUGCCGUGUAGCGGUGAAAUGCUUAGAUAUGGCACAGAACACCAAUUGCGAAGGCAGCUCACUAAGGCGAUACUGACGCUGAGGCACGAAAGCGUGGGGAUCGAACAGGAUUAGAAACCCUUGUAGUCC